GAAUUCCCGCUUUCAUGCAGGGUUCUAUACUGCAUUUCAACACAACAGAAGCUGGAAGGAAACCUCCUUCAAGGUUACAGAUGGAUCUCAGUAAUGCUUUGAUUAAAUAAUUGCUAGCUAGCCACGGCUCUGGUGCUCAUCAUGGGACCUUCUUUAACCGAGCUGUAACACUGUGUGGUGAAUCAGGACAUCUCAGGAGAGCGUGUUGCUUCCAUCCAGUGAUGAGAGGAUGUUUAGCUGCACGAUCUUGGCCUCGUUUUCCCUUUGCUGGAUCAUGGUGAUAUUGAGUCCUUUUCCUUCCUGGCAACCUAACUGCACAUUCCCGGAAGGCAGAAGCUGAAUUUCGUCUGUGCUCAUGCUUCAAACAGAAACAGGUGGGCCUUUGUAUACAAGGAAGUAAACCGAGGAGCAAGGCAGUAAAUAGUGUUCCUCCAUGGCUUCAAUUUCUGCCUUGCAUGAGUUCCUGCUGUGCCUUCCCUCCGCGAUGGACUGUGAUCAUGACAUGUAAAUCAAGUAAGUCCUUUCCUCCCCCCAAAUGUCUCUGGACAGUGUUAGUACAAUAGCAGCCAUGUAACUAAGACAGGUGCUGUACCCAGUAGGGUUCUGAUGGCUUUUUUUUCUUUACACUGGAGCAGAGUCUGAGAGCUAUUUACGAAGAGCAAAAUGCCCUCCUACCUAGUGCUUGGCCAGAGUUCAUUUCCCAAUCUCCCUCAUACUUCGGGUGGACAGGGAUUAAACUGUAGCCGCUGAGCAGAGAUGACGUUGGUUAUAUCUUAUCUUGGCGCAAAAAUUUCUCACCCCUGCCCUUCCAUACUCUUCCCAUUUCACUGAUUCUGGGGACAGGUGUCAUAGAUGUCAGUCACCAUUAGAAUGGUAUGCCGAGCCGGGCGGUGGUGGCACACGCCUUUAAUCCCAGCACUCGGGAGG